rnacentral:piRNA from 1 species
UCAAAUAACUCAGUAAGGGUGGAAGGGAC